rnacentral:tRNA from 1 species
GGUUGUGGCUCAGUGGUAGAGUGCUUGCCUUCCAUGUGUGAGGCCCUGGGUUUGAUCCUCAAUACCA